AGUGAACGCUGGCGGCAGGCCUAACACAUGCAAGUCGAACGGCAGCACAAGAGAGCUUGCUCUCUGGGUGGCGAGUGGCGGACGGGUGAGGAAUGCAUCGGAAUCUGCCCAUUUGUGGGGGAUAACCUCGGGAAACCGGGACUAAUACCGCAUACGACCUACGGGUGAAAGCAGGGGAUCUUCGGACCUUGCGCAGAUGGAUGAGCCGAUGCCGGAUUAGCUAGUUGGAGGGGUAAAGGCCCACCAAGGCGACGAUCCGUAGCUGGUCUGAGAGGAUGAUCAGCCACACUGGGACUGAGACACGGCCCAGACUCCUACGGGAGGCAGCAGUGGGGAAUAUUGGACAAUGGGCGCAAGCCCGAUCCAGCCAUGCCGCGUGUGUGAAGAAGGCCUUCGGGUUGUAAAGCACUUUUGUUGGGAAAGAAAAGCAGCCGGUUAAUACCCGGUUGUCAUGACGGUACCCAAAGAAUAAGCACCGGCUAACUUCGUG
rnacentral:rRNA from 1 species